UGGGUGUGUAGCUCAAUCGGUAGAGCAACGGUCUUUUAAACCGUAGGUAGUGGGAUCGUAACCCACCACACCCAU
rnacentral:tRNA from 1 species